rnacentral:lncRNA from 1 species
GGUCCCCUUCCGUGCUGUAGAAGCUUUGUUCUUUCUCUCUUCCCAAUAAAUCUUGCUGCUGCUGACUCUUUGGGUCCACACUACCUUUAUGAGCUGUAACACUCACCACAAGGGUCUGUGGCUUCAUUUCUGAAGUCAGUGAGACCACGAACCCACCAGGAGGAACAAACAACUCCGGACACACCACCUUUAAGAGCUGUAACACUUACUGAGAAGGUCUGAGGCUUCACUCCUGAAGUCAGCGAGACCAUGAACCCACCGGAAGGAAGAAACUACGAACACAUCUGAACAUCUGAAGGAACAAACUCCAGACACACUAUCUUUAAAAACUGUAACACUCACUGUGAGGGUCCACGGCUUCAUUCUUGAAGUCAGCAAGACCAAGAACCCACUGGAAGGAACCAAUUUUGGACACAUUUUGGCGACCGCAAAGGGACAAUCACCAAGUGGAUCGAGGCCAUCAAGCUACAGAUGGUCUUACAAAUGGAACCCCAAAUGAGCUUAACUAAGAACUUCUACCAAGGACCCCUGGACCAACCCACUGGCCUAAAGAGUUCCCCUCUGGUGGACACUACAACUGCAGGGCCCCUUCUUUGCACCUAUCCAGCAGGAAGUAGCUAGAGUGGUCAUUGCCCAAUUCCCAACAGCAGUUGGGGUGUCCUGUUUAGAGGGGGGAUUGAGAGGUGAAGCCAGUUGGACUUUCUGGGUUGAGUGGGGACUUGGAGAACUUUUCUGUCUAGCUAAAGCUUUGUAAACGCACCAAUCAGCACUCUGUGAAAAUGCACCAAUCAGCACUCUGUGUCUAGCUAAAGGUCUGUAAAUGCACCAGUCAGCACUCUGUAAAAAUGCACCAAUCAGCAUUCUGUGUCUAGCUAAAGGUUUGUAAAUGCAUCAAUCAGCACUCUGUAAAAAGGCAGCAAUCAGCGCUCUGUGUCUAGCUAAAUGUUUGUAAAUGCACCAAUCAGCACUCUGUAAAAAUGGACCAAUCAGCACUCUGUAAAAUAGACCAAUCAGCAGGACGUGGGCAGGGCCUAAUAUGGGAAUAAAAGCUGGCCACCUGAGCCAGCAACGGCAACCCACUUGGGUCCCCUUCCAUGCUGUGGAAGCUUUGUUCUUUUGAGUUACCUAGACCUCAUUUAUGCCAUGGAUACUUGCAUGACCUUUAUCCAUGAAAUGGGAGUCUUGGUUUAAUUGACAAGAAUUAGUCAUGUUCACCUAUGCUGCACCUUUUAACUUCCAUUAUUGUCUGCCUCUGGAUCCCUCAGAUCCAGAUUUCUUUCCUAGGGAUUUGACCUGAAGCUUGGAAUUGAGUUUGGGACAAAAAUGUGUCUCCAGC